GUCUGGUUCGGCAGCACAUAUACUAAAAUUGGAACAAUACAAAGAAGGUUAGCAUGGCCCCUGAGCAAGGAUGACACAUGCAACAGCCAAUUGGAGUGUAGGCAU